GACGAACGCUGGCGGCGUGCUUAACACAUGCAAGUCGAACGGAAAGGCCCUGCUUUCAGGGUACUCGAGUGGCGAACGGGUGAGUAACACGUGGGUGAUCUGCCCUGCACUUCGGGAUAAGCCUGUGCAACUGGGUCUAAUACCUGAUAGGAGCCAUUUUUAGUGUGAUGGUUGGAAAGUUUUUUCGGUGUAGGAUGAGCGCGCGGCCUAUCAGCUUGUUGGUGGGGUAAUGGCCUACGAAGGCGGCGACGGGUAGCCGGCCUGAGAGGGUGGACGGCCACAUUGGGACUGAGAUACGGACCAGAAUCCUACGGGAGGCAGCAGUGGGGAAUAUUGCACAAUGGGCGCAAGCCUGAUGCAGCGACGCCGCGUGGGGGAUGACGGCCUUCGGGUUGUAAACUCAUUUCGCUAGGGACGAAGCUUUUGUGACGGUACCUAGAUAAGAAGCACCGGCUAACUACGUG
rnacentral:rRNA from 1 species